AUUCCAGCUCCAAUAGCGUAUAUUAAAGUUGUUGCAGUUAAAAAGCUCGUAGUUGGAUUUGUGGGUGGAGCGAGCGUCCCGACGCUCAGCGUGGGUGAGGUUCGUCUCCGUCCAUCCUUGGGUGGAAUCCGCGUGGCAUUGAGUUGUCGUGCGGGGGAUGCCCAUCUUUUACUGUGAAAAAAUUAGAGUGUUCAAAGCAGGCUACGCCGUUGAAUAUAUUAGCAUGGAAUAAUGAGAUAGGACCUGGGUACUAUUUUGUUGGUUUGCGCACCGAGGUAAUGAUUAAUAGGGACAGUUGGGGGUAUUCGUAUUCCAUUGUCAGAGGUGAAAUUCUUGGAUUUCUGGAAGACGAACGAUUGCGAAAGCAUUUACCAAGGAUGUUUUCAUCG
rnacentral:rRNA from 1 species